UGCAGAAUCCCGUGAAUCAUCGAGUCUUUGAACGCAAGUUGCGCCCGAAGCCUUCUGGCCGAGGGCACGUCUGCCUGGGUGUCACGC
rnacentral:rRNA from 1 species